AUGCCUUAAAUUUAUGAGUAAGGAAAAUAAUGAUGUGGGGUGACGCCAAAUCCUCACUACUAAUGUGAGAUGAAUUUUUGAGCAGGUAAAGGUUGCCCCUAAGGUGACCCGCUUACUUUGCGGGAUGCCUAGGAGUCGUGAUCUGCCUG
rnacentral:snRNA from 1 species